AAAAAAGUUUAUUAAAUUUUGGAUUUAAAAACAAACCAAAAAAAGUAACAAGAAUAAAACCAGAAAAGGAAUGUUUACCGAAGAAUUUCAGCCUGGAGGAAAACUGAACUGAAGCAUGGAUCCAUGAAAGAUCCAUGAAAUUUGCAGUGAGACAAUUGAAAUUGCUUUGCGUACAGUUUCUCUAGAGGAUGAUUUGUGUGUGGAUGUUGAACAAGGUUCAGCAAGAUUAAGAUUCAAGAUAAGUAACUUUGGACAAUAUACAUAUACGAUUUCACCAUCUAAGGACUAGAUUCAGAUGAACACUCAGUUAUCUACUACCACUGUAAGUGUCCUAGUGUAUCCAGACAGUGCUUGAGCUGGAAGACAAGACAUGGGACCUAAGCAUAGACGCCAGUCUGUAGAGUAUCCUGCCUAGCCUACAGGAUUGCCAAGAUAUCUGCAUGAUGUUUCUGGUUUUGAUGCAUUAAUGAUAAGUGAGCUGCACCUUUCUGAAGUGGCACUUAAGAAUCUGGCAGGGUACUCUGAGAUGUUUAAGGUGAAUUCUGAUGCUCUAUUUACUCACCUGUAUCUCAGAUAUCCCACUGUGCUUCCAGCUCCUCCUUCAGAAAGACAGAAAGUCUUCAGAAAGUCUUCCCUGUCGUAUCUGCCAGAUUCGUGAAGCCAUCAAGCAGUAUUAGUUGGAGGACUGUAUCUUCAUCUGAACUAUUGUGCAAGUGUCCCCUGCGACUGCACGGUUUGCACCACGUCUGGUAUCUUUUCCAGUAUCUCAUUUGCUCAGCAUCCCUGGAGUAACUAAAAGAAUUGCCAACAUCAGAACAGACCAGAUCCCCAGUGCAUGCUGCCUUUAUACAUCUGGGAUCUUCUUAUCUCUUUGAAUAAAUGAAUGGAAAGAAGAAGGAAUCGGUGUUGAGUGAUCUUCCAGCUUUGCAUGAUUCACUGAGAACUAUGUAUUCUCACCACAAAUGGCUCAAAGGCUGUAUACUGGGAAUUGUGCUAUUUCAAGCUUUGUAGUGUGUAACACAGAAAAGUAGCUUUAUGGCUCAGCUUAUUUGGUAAUCCUUUCUUAAUUAUGGGAAUACAUAUGAAUCUAAAAUGAAAGGCU
ensembl:lncRNA